GCAGUUGGUAGCUCAGUGGUAAAGUGCAUGCUUUGUAUGUAUGAUGUCUUGGGUUGAAUCCCCAGCUUCUCCU
rnacentral:tRNA from 1 species